UACAGAGGAUGCAAGCGUUAUCCGGAAUGAUUGGGCGUAAAGCGUCUGUAGGUGGCUUUUUAAGUCCGCCGUCAAAUCCCAGGGCUCAACUCUGGACAGGCGGUGGAAACUACCAAGCUGGAGUACGGUAGGGGCAGAGGGAAUUUCCGGUGGAGCGGUGAAAUGCGUAGAGAUCGGGAGGAAUACCGAUGGCGAAAGCAACCGUCUGGGCCUGAACUGACACUGAGACACGAAAGCGUGGGGAGCAAACAGG
rnacentral:rRNA from 1 species